AUGGGGCACCCACCAGACUCUCCCAGUGCCCCGGCCCCAGCUGGCACCACAGCUAUACCUGGGCUUAUUCCAGACCUUGUCGCCGGGACCCCCUGGCCCCGCUGGGCUCUCAUUGCCGGCGCCCUUGCCGCGGGCAUCCUCCUCGUCUCCUGCCUCCUCUGUGCUGCCUGCUGCUGCUGCCGCCACCACAGGAAGAAGCCCAGGGACAAGGAGGCCGUGGGUCUGGGCAGUGCCCGUGGCACCACCACCACCCACCUGGUGAGGAGCGGCUCCUUGCUCACUCAGUCCAGAGAGGGCUCGAAAUCCAGGCUCCAGAGCCCAGGACAGCGAGGCGAGUUCAGCCCCAGGGAUGGUUUAACCCCCACAGAGGCGGGUCAGUGA
rnacentral:sRNA from 1 species